UAUACAGGGAGCACGUGCAUACACAUUAAACCACGGAAUAUAUAUAAAGCGAUAGAAGGCGAACGUCGGUAUGACAAGCAAGAUACAUACGGAUAUAAAGAGUCCGGUCGGUAAAACAGAGAGGAAGGUGCGAGCUGCGCGCGCAACUCGAGCAAGACCCGCAGUAGUCCAGGUAUGAUCCCGGCUGUGUCUAUUUAUACGGACUGGGUGGGAACGCGGCUACCUGUUGGGUCUGCCGCUCUAGGUAUAACCCGGCUCAAAGCAGCCUCCAGCAGUUAUCGCUUGACAUAAAAGUAGGUCACCCGUCGAAACUAGGUCAACACGGCGCAACCCUCACAGCACUAUAUACCUUGGUAAGCGUCCACGUACGAGUUAUCGUACAAUACACACACUCCGUCAGGAGUAGAUCAGAAUCCUCUGGCACUGUCAAACCCCCCCCCCGCCCCCCUAUAAGCAUCCACCCCCUUUACUUUAAUCCUGACUUUGCUCACUUGCCGUCAACCCAGCUCUCGCAGCCCAGGUCCGUCGAGGUUUCCACGCUUUGGCCAACCCUGCGGCGCAAUCAACCCUCUUUGGAAUUAUCCCGAAAAUAUGUAACUCCGACGAAAAGCUAAGUGAGAGACCAGGGUACCUUGGCUCGGUAAAUAUUUACUAUGGGGUUUAUUGUGGAAUUAAGAUCGGCCGACAUCGGUUACGGAGAGUGAACGGUUUUCUGAGUGCUGGUGUUGCUCGUUGUGGGUCUAUGGUUAUCCUGUCAUAGAGUGUACAUAUAUAUCUACAAGGGGUGCGGCGUUCGUAGUAUGAAUGUCAGCGGUACAGUACGGUACAUAAAUUUUGCAUAUAGGGGAUGAAAACGUGAAAUGGGGCUUAUGUAUAAUGUAAGCAAAGCUUGUCGAUUCUCUAAGAUAGCUUGACGUGAGAGACAUACCGGUUAGGAAGUUGCCGUACGAUACGAAGUUGGCUUCUAAGUAAAGUGACAGCGCGGUGAGGUUGAGGACGCCAUAGAAAUAGAACUGAUAUUGUCUAUUUGUCCUUGAAGCGAGGCCACCGAGAGACUUCCUGCCGCGUGGCUGCCAGCCGGGCGUCAGCGGAGUCAGUAUGAAAGGAGAUGAAAAUGGAUGAGGGACGCCGGGAGAAACAUUGGUCUUUGGACUGGGAAAACCGGAAGAACUUUUCCUAGUUCGGAUACGACAGCCACCAUUUUAUCGUGCCUCCAUUACAGUAAGCGAUUCUUGUACACCCUGCGACGAAGCAUCAUGCUGAGGAAACUCAGCCAGCAUCCACCCCCGGAGUUUAACAGGCAACCCAGAAAUCGGUGCUGAUAGGAUAUAUGUGUGUGUGUGUGUAUAUAUAUAUAUAUAGCGAGAGGAAGGAGGUGUGAUUAAGCUCCGUAGAAAUGGGGGGAGGUUGGGAGAAAGGUCAAUAAAUAAAGGAUCGACUUGAUUUUAAGGGAUGAAAAGAUCCAAGGAUGUUAUUGCAGCCUAAAAUAUUUUCUAUUAUCCCAUCAUCCGCCCACCCACCACCCUGCUGGAAUAUUAAAAAUUUUUUUCAUCUUUGAUAAAGAUUUUAAGACACACCCUUCGGAUGGCUUAUUAGGGAUCCUUUUUUAAUCCUGGUUCCGCCACGGGAGGCUCAGGUGAUCCAUAAGGAUGUCAUUUUAUUCGGAGAGCUCACGGAUUGGUUUUACAUAAGAGACAUCUGGAUAUAUCGGAAAAUCAACGCAGGAUCUUUAGUCACGUAUAGGUGCCAGGUAUGGUAUAUCUAUGUCCUCCAUUUAUGACUGAUAAGAGAGUUACAAAAUCCAAUAGAAAUAAUGAUCCACGCUUUAACGAUAAUCUUAUUGUGUAUUGAAUUUCAGGUCUCUUUAAUGGCCGACCUGGUCCUGGCUGAAUCCUAUUCCGAUCUAACCUAACCCAAUUACCUAAACAAGAACUACGUAAUUGUUAAGAAGCAAAGAGGAUUCGAUGGGAUCACCAGAGUCUUCGAACUUCCUCGUUCAGGGGCAUGAGGGGGUAGAACAGGGUGACUAAUCACGUCAUGAGCGUUCAAUAAUUCCAUUAUUAAAUUUUGCUUCUCUACGUCCCACUUCCUCGACCCGCGAAGGUCUCCUUUCAUCCCCUUUGACAAUCAAUUCUUUUCUCCUGGUCUUUGGCACGAAAGGAAAAAACAUAACCUCUAAAAGUUAUCGUAACAUUUUCACUCCAACUGCCAUUUAAAACUCCGCAUGACAAGUGCACGGCGUACCAAGGACGUCGCGACGCUUUUUCGCAAUUGAAAGACUUAACGGCUCUAUACUUGUCAUUUGAGUUUUAAGUUAUGCAAUUAAAGAGUUAUAGAUUUGAGACACGUUCUGCACUUAUUAAAUAUAACGGUCAUCGUGCGCUCCUUUUUUUUUCAUAGGUCAUUAACUUGUAAGAUGUCUUUGGAUAAUUAUCUUUCGUCUCUUUGGUAUGCGUCUACUCAUCUUCCUUUUUAUUCAUCUUCUGCAGUCAAACUUUCGUGAUUUCUUCGUUUUUCA